rnacentral:rRNA from 1 species
GGGGUCGCGUCCUAUCAGCUUGUUGGUGGGGUGAUGGCCUACCAAGGCUUCGACGGGUAGCCGGCCUGAGAGGGCGACCGGCCACAUUGGGACUGAGAUACGGCCCAGACUCCUACGGGAGGCAGCAGUGGGGAAUAUUGCACAAUGGGCGAAAGCCUGAUGCAGCGACGCCGCGUGCGGGAUGACGGCCUUCGGGUUGUAAACCGCUUUUGAUUGGGAGCAAGCGAGAGUGAGUGUACCUUUCGAAUAAGCACCGGCUAACUACGUGCCAGCAGCCGCGGUAAUACGUAGGGUGCAAGCGUUAUCCGGAUUUAUUGGGCGUAAAGAGCUCGUAGGCGGUUCGUCGCGUCUGGUGUGAAAGUCCAUCGCUUAACGGUGGAUCUGCGCCGGGUACGGGCGGACUGGAGUGCGGUAGGGGAGACUGGAAUUCC